rnacentral:rRNA from 1 species
CCUACGGGGGGCAGCAGUGAGGAAUAUUGGUCAAUGGCCGCAGGGCUGAACCAGCCAAGUCGCGUGAGGGAUGACGGUCCUAUGGAUUGUAAACCUCUUUUGUCAGGGAGCAAAGGGCGCCACGUGUGGCGUUUUGCGAGUACCUGAAGAAAAAGCAUCGGCUAACUCCGUGCCAGCAGCCGCGGUAAUACGUAGGGGGCAAGCGUUAGCCGGAUUUACUGGGUGUAAAGGGAGCGUAGACGGUGCGCCAAGUCGGGAGUGAAAUGCCGCAGCUUAACUGUGGAACUGCUUUGGAAACUGGCGAACUAGAGUGCGGGAGAGGUAGGCGGAAUUCCGUGGGUAGCGGUGAAAUGCGUAGAUAUAAGGAGGAACACCGGUGGCGAAGGCGGCUUACUGGACCGUAACUGACGUUGAGGCUCGAAAGCGUGGGGAGCAAACAGGAUUAGAUACCCGAGUAGUC